CUUUGAUAGGUACUUGUACUCUGCAGUAUUACCACUUGUAUUUACUACGUGUUUCCACGGCUCCAGGAGCAGCAGCGUGCCGCCCCCUGUGUUACUAUCAGUAGUUUGCGCCAGUCUGAGCCACGCAUGCGCAGCGAGUGCGGGCGCAGCUUCGCCGUGGUUUCGGUUGAGAAUUCUUGGCAACGUCUCGCUCGGUGAACAGGCAGCAGACCGUCGGGCAACGGCAGUUUCCACAAUGUCUGGAGGAUUAUUUUAACGGAGAUGGAAGUGAGCGGAAACCCUGGAGGAGCGAAAGAGUGAAAAACCGGGCCGCCUCUGCCUACACAGUGACAUCAGACGUCACCACAAGCUUCGCCUGCAUAGCUGAGGGCAGAAAAGUGUAGGUGGGAGCUGUCAGCGCUGCACUGCUCUCUAGGAGAUAAAGCACUUCCUCAUCUGCAUUUUGUACUGAUAAUGGAAAGA
ensembl:lncRNA